AUGAACGCUGGCGGCGUGCCUCAUACAUGCCAGUCGAGCGAACAGACGAGGAGCUUGCUCCUCUGACGUUAGCGGCGGACGGGUGAGUAACACGUGGAUAACCUACCUAUAAGACUGGGAUAACUUCGGGAAACCGGAGCUAAUACCGGAUAAUAUAUUGCACCGCAUGGUUCAAUAGUGAAAGACGGUUUUGCUGUCACUUAUAGAUGGAUCCGCGCCGCAUUAGCUAGUUGGUAAGGUAACGGCUUACCAAGGCAACGAUGCGUAGCCGACCUGAGAGGGUGAUCGGCCACACUGGAACUGAGACACGGUCCAGACUCCUACGGGAGGCAGCAGUAGGGAAUCUUCCGCAAUGGGCGAAAGCCUGACGGAGCAACGCCGCGUGAGUGAUGAAGGUCUUCGGAUCGUAAAACUCUGUUAUUAGGGAAGAACAAAUGUGUAAGUAACUAUGCACGUCUUGACGGUACCUAAUCAGAAAGCCACGGCUAACUACGUG
rnacentral:rRNA from 1 species